CAUAAUACCGGUCUUCACGUUCCCGAGCUUUCAGUUCUGCGAGGGCGUGUAUUCUUCCAGUCAGUGGGGCUCCCACUAGUUGACAUCUUGUAACAGUAGACUUUAGAAUUCCUUUGUUGAGCAUGUGGGCUGCACUGUGUAUUCUUGCUUCAAAGUUGCGAUAGAAUGUCACUUGUUUCGGAUUUGUUCUAGUAUAAGCCCGGUUGACACUUUCUACUUUUUGAGUGUUUGUAUUGAGUUUUGUUUUAAGAAGUGCAGUUUUGCCGAGUCGAAGUUCUAGGCAUUUUCUUAACAAUUCUUUAUCGCCUUCUUUCAUUUUCAGAACUGAAUCUGCAGGUAAAUAGGCAGGUUUCCAUGCCUUGAUCCGCCUGCCCGAACACACAAAUGAAUGCCUUUGACACAGUGUUGAACAGUUGCCACUCACACAGGCCACGAUGGAAUCGAUGGUGUGUUUCGUUCUCAGCAAUGGUGUAGACCGCUUGAGUUGCAGGCUGGAGGGAUGUGCUCGAGUUCCCACCGAAAAGUCUGUUGUUGUAACGGCAGUCUCCCUCAACACUUAUCUUGUGAUCACUGGAAAUCUUCCAAGGCAUCGGGAACAGCUGGGUGAGGCCGAAGUAACCGCAUAUUGCCAGUCGUCCCCUGUGAAUCGGUGACCACAUAUGAAGAUGCACCUCGACUCGUUGACGGCUUAGCCACUGCAUCAAAGUCUUCCCUGGACAGCCUGGUACAGGCCAAAUCAGACCAACACAGUGACACUCCUCAAAGAGUUAUUUCCCCUUG